rnacentral:rRNA from 1 species
AGGGGCAUGCACACCUGAU